rnacentral:rRNA from 1 species
GAUGAACGCUAGCGGGAGGCCUAACACAUGCAAGCCGAGCGGUAUUGUUUCUUCGGAAAUGAGAGAGCGGCGUACGGGUGCGUAACACGUGUGCAACCUGCCUUUAUCUGGGGGAUAGCCUUUCGAAAGGAAGAUUAAUACUCCAUAAUAUAUUGAACGGCAUCGUUUAAUAUUGAAAGCUCCGGCGGAUAGAGAUGGGCACGCGCAAGAUUAGCUAGUUGGUGAGGUAACGGCUCACCAAGGCGAUGAUCUUUAGGGGGCCUGAGAGGGUGAUCCCCCACACUGGUACUGAGACACGGACCAGGCUCCUACGGGAGGCAGCAGUGAGGAAUAUUGGUCAAUGGGUGCAAGCCUGAACCAGCCAUCCCGCGUGAAGGACGACUGCCCUAUGGGUUGUAAACUUCUUUUGUAUAGGGAUAAACCUACCCUCGAGAGGGUAGCUGAAGGUACUAUACGAAUAAGCACCGGCUAACUCCGUG